GAUAACCAAAGAUCGGCACAGGAUUGAGGGUCGGAUCACUAAUGAUUCUCACAUUGCCCACGACCGAAUCAUAAAUACCACCCCAUAAUGUCGCUUUCCCGACAAAUAAUAAAGCUGCGACUCCCAGAAAAAUUAAAUGAUGACCCAAAAUAAACCCCAUUUUCUGUGGGUCGUUCCA
rnacentral:antisense_RNA from 1 species